UUCCCUCUGCUGGAAUCGACAGGUGCGACCAUGAAUCCCGAGUAGCCACGAACCAGGGGCGCGAGUGACACGCCGCGGUGUGCUAGGCCCGGAUCUCGAUCACCGGGAAGCCUAAAGCGGUACCGAGCGCCCCACCUAGCGUCGAGCUAGGGGUUCACGUCGCUCACCACCGUUUCUGGCGGUACGGAA
rnacentral:other from 1 species